rnacentral:rRNA from 1 species
AGUGAACGCUGGCGGCAGGCCUAAUACAUGCAAGUCGAACGGCAGCACAGCAGAGCUUGCUCUGUGGGUGGCGAGUGGCGGACGGGUGAGGAAUACGUGGGAAUCUGCCCAGUCGUGGGGGAUAACGUAGGGGAACUUACGCUAAUACCGCAUGCGCCCUUUGGGGGAAAGCCGGGGAUCUUCGGACCUGGCGCGAUUGGAUGAGCCCACGUCGGAUUAGCUAGUUGGAGGGGUAAAGGCCCACCAAGGCGACGAUCCGUAGCUGGUCUGAGAGGAUGAUCAGCCACACUGGAACUGAGACACGGUCCAGACUCCUACGGGAGGCAGCAGUAGGGAAUAUUGGACAAUGGGCGCAAGCCUGAUCCAGCCAUGCCGCGUGAGUGAAGAAGGCCCUCGGGUUGUAAAGCUCUUUUGUUGGGGAAGAAAAGCCUUGGGUUAAUACCCUGAGGUUCUGACGGUACCCAAAGAAUAAGCACCGGCUAACUUCGUGCCAGCAGCCGCCGCCG